GGAGGUGAUGAUGAAACUCCUCACCAAUGGAUGAGGCUGGAGUGCAAUUUUAAUGCCAUAAAAACGACCGCGAGGUGGAUCGGCAUUGAAAACCAUUCAUCGCCAAAAUGUGAUUUUUUUUUUCUCACAGGAAUUUGUCAAUAUUGAACAUUUCAAAUCGAUGGUAGCAUCCCUAGUUUAUACUACAUUGUACUAUAGUUUAUUGUUAGUACUAGUGAGCCUCAUAAAACAACAACAAGAAGAAGAAAAUCAUUUACCUUAGUGUUAAAGUGUAUUCUCCUUUGACCUUGGUAGAAGCAUCCCGGACUAAGAAUGUACCAUCGGGUGUGUUCCUCAUCAUCCUGUUCACUUCGUCUCUGGUCAAAUACAACAAUGAGUUUUCCAUUAAUUCAGCAACCAGAGGAAAACAAUGAAUUAAAAAUUAAAAAAAAGUUUGAUAACUGCAUUCAUGAUUUAGUUACCGAAUAUGUAGUACUAAACGAAGAACACACUUUUAUAAAUGAUCUUUACAUUGCAGCAUGUUACAUGUUCAUUUUUUCAUACAUGUUCUCUGCACCUUGAGAUGUUGCCCCAGUACCACUCUGCAUCAACCAGCUGUUUUUGCUCGUUGCAGGAAUCACAUGCUGCCAUCGCCGUAGUGAAGAUAUCCUUGGGUUGGAUCUCUGCCGCCACAGAAGUAAAGGGUGACGUCAUGGAGGGUCACUCUGCAGGCCAGGACUUGUGGGUGCUGGUCGGGCUCCUCUGGGCCUUGGGACUACCCUGGAACACAUUGUGUGAUAAAAGUACAAAAACGUCAUUGUAAAGCUGCAAAGCUAGCAGCCGGGCUGUUCCAGGAGGAGUUUGACAAUCUCGGCGCGGCCGUGCUCGCUGGCGCACAUCAACGCCGUGGAGCCUUCGUCAUCCUGCACGUCGACGUCGGCGCCGCACUCCAGAAGCGCCUCCACCAUCUCCUGACGUCCGUGACUCACGGCGAGCAUCAGCGCCGUCUGGCCUGCCUGUAACGGUAACAAAUUGGAAUAUUAUGGAAUUGGAAUA